rnacentral:rRNA from 1 species
CAGCCGCCGCGGUAAUACGUAGGGUGCGAGCGUUAUCCGGAAUUAUUGGGCGUAAAGAGCUCGUAGGCGGUUUGUCACGUCUGUCGUGAAAGUCCGGGGCUUAACCCCGGAUCUGCGGUGGGUACGGGCAGACUAGAGUGCAGUAGGGGAGACUGGAAUUCCUGGUGUAGCGGUGGAAUGCGCAGAUAUCAGGAGGAACACCGAUGGCGAAGGCAGGUCUCUGGGCUGUAGCUGACGCUGAGGAGCGAAAGCAUGGGGAGCGAACAGGAUUAGAUACCCUGGUAGUCCAUGCCGUAAACGUUGGGCACUAGGUGUGGGGACCAUUCCACGGUUUCCGCGCCGCAGCUAACGCAUUAAGUGCCCCGCCUGGGGAGUACGGCCGCAAGGCUAAAACUCAAAGGAAUUGACGG